AUAUCAGUCAUGCAUAGCAUAUCAAUAAGCGGAGGAAAAGAAACUAACAAGGAUUCCCUUAGUAACGGCGAGUGAAGCGGGAAGAGCUCAAAUUUGAAAUCUUAAAGGUUUUCCCUUGACGAAUUGUAGUUUAAAGAAGUGUUUUCUGUUGGAGUUUCGGUAAAAGUUCUUUGGAAUAGGACAUCAUAGAGGGUGAGAAUCCCGUAUUUGACCAUUACUUUCCAGCUGUGUGAUACACUUUCAAAGAGUCGGAUUGUCUGGGAAUGCAGUCCAAAAUGGGUGGUAAGUUUCAUCUAAAGCUAAGUAUUGGCGAGAGACCGAUAGCGAACAAGUACCGUGAGGGAAAGAUGAAAAGAACUUUGAAAAGAGAGUUAAACAGUACGUGAAAUUGUCAAAAGGGAAGCGUUUGACACCAGUGUUGUUUUUCCGAAAAUCAAUUACGAAUGUUUUGUUUUUAAGAAGUUAUGACUUCAUCGGCUUGCUUCUUUCUUUACGAAACUUUCUUAAUGCACUUUUCGGUUAAUAAGUCAACAUCAAUUUCUUUUGUUGUAAAAGGGUAUGAGGAAGGUGGCUUUCUUUUCGGAGAAAGUGUUUAUAGCCUUGUGCCUCUGCAAUCGGAGAGAUUGAGGUCUGCAGCGUAGAUCCUUCGGGGUUAGAUACGUUUGUGCUAAGUUAUAGCUUUUCAUAGACAACUUGUUGACUAUGUUUAGUCUUGUAGCUUACUCGCUGACGCUAUUUUACCUACGCUUAGGAUGUUGAUCUCUCACAGUCGAGC
rnacentral:rRNA from 1 species